UUGGAACUGUUCUUUGUAUUUGUAAAUAUACAAUUGCAAUAUAUGUAUUCGGUACCAGGAGUAUGUCUUCUUCAUAAGAUCAGAUCAGAAACAACAACAAUACAGAAAGUGUAGCAAAAAUACAAAUGUUCCCUAAAAAUGGUGACCCGACAGACGAACCAGCGCCUUUCUGAGAUGGAGUCUGAAAAGCAACCGUUAGAACUAAAGGUGACCCCAAAGACAUCAACUCCACAAGCAAGCCGAGGAUAAAAAGAUCAAGGAAAAUGAAAAAUAGCCACCAAACCAAGAUUCAGACAGUAUGAAAAAUCAAGGAAUUACAAGCGAAAUACCAAAGACUCUGACAAAAAGAAAAAGACUGUUAGAUUUAAAAGGUGUAUGAGAUUCACAUUAUAUGGACUGUUAUAAAAAUAUGUGUGUAAAACAUUCACACUAUAUGAACUGUUUUACACCAGAAAAAAACCGUAAAAUCAAAAACUAGUCGGAACUCUUGACUACAAAAAACAAAUGAAAAAGAAAGGAUAACGAAAGAACUUCAUAAAGAAACGCCCGCGAACCAACUUCAAGAAACCGCGCGAUUGUAGCAUUUUAUAUUGUACUAUAAAUAUUUCAAUUUCGUUUACAAAAUGGACAGACAUCCUUCUUCUUCACAGGUAUUUCACGUUUCCUUCUUUCUAAUCUUUAAGGCGUUCUAUAAUUGGUAUUAAACCCAACGAGGUUUACUCAAAAAUAUUUAAUUUAUUCGAUUUUGGCAGAUAUUAGCAUUCGUUUUCUUCAAAUAUACUUUACGUUGACUUUAACAUUUUUUUCAAAAUAUGAUUUCAUAUACGAUCGUAUUUCGAAUCAGCGCUUCAGGAUGUAUUUGCAUAAACGCAAGUGAAAUCCUCAUUCUUUUUAUUUUUAAACGCCCAGAGAGGCUCAUCACAAUUAUAGCCGGAAAGGCUCAUCAACGCAACACGCGUAUUUUUUUAUUUUUUUCAGCGCUUCAAAAUUUAUUAAUGUGAAACGAAGUGUAUUAAAGCUAAGAAUUGGUAGUAAUCUGUCACCUAAAUUAUAAAAUAAACCAACGCCAAAUCUUUUUCUUUCCAUACACUGUAUAACACACACACAUUCUGUCUCAUAAUCAUAAUUUCAACUUUCUUAUGUUUUUAUGAAUUUUGUUGCAUUUUGUGUAUAUAUUUUCACUGCACGCACAAGCUUGGCCACUGCUCCGCAGCUAAAGUAGGUGCAUAGUAUAGGAUAUUGGGU